rnacentral:lncRNA from 1 species
UCUUGCCCAAAGUUUCCCAGCUGGUGAGUGAUGGAGCAAGUGUUCGAAUCCAGGGAGUGUGACCCCAGAGCCCAUGUGUUUACCUUCUGCUUCUGAGUCAACUGAGCAGUAACUUCAAGGAGACCCACCUUCUGGGUCAUGAAGCUGGGGAGAGCGAGUGAAAAAGAGAGGAGGAAGGAUGGUCUGGCCCGGAAGAGAGGCCUUAUGGACAGACGGGGAGGUCAGUGAGGCCUGUUCUUUGCAGAGCGCAGAUCCGGGAUCAACGCGCCUCUGGGUAGAAGUCCUAGCACUGGGUUUCUCGGCAUCACCCUGCCCCUCUGAGGCUCUCCCGGCAUGGCCUACUGCAUUUGCCACAGGAAACAAAGCCUCUUUUAGAAAAAUUCACCCCCUUCGUCCAGUCUCCUCCGAAGAGCCAAACUAAUACUUCCUGAGCACCUACCAUGCGCUUCAGACGCUUCAGCCCAUCUAAUUUCAUCUUUACGACUCUGCAAGCAUGGAAUUACCACCAUCAUCUUAAACAUGAGGGAACAGCCUCAGAGAGGAUAAAAACAUUCACCUGAGGUCACAGAGCUACUAGACAACUGGACAGGGCCAGGACUGAGUGUUCAACCUGAGCUUCCUCCUCAUGUCACACUCCACCUGAGAAUCGGAGGCUGGACCCUGAGUGGGCAGAGGAAAGUGUAGGAGGAGAUGCAUGUAGCACUUCCCUCCAGUUCUCACUGUCACGCUCCAGCUGUGACUCACCUGGCUGCCUUCCUGACAGAGACAAAGGGGAGUGAAGAAGGCAGGCAGGAGGGCGGGCAUCGGGAAAGAAAAGGAAAUGAGAAGGCAAGGUGGAAGCAGAGGGACAGCGUGCAGCAGAAGACUCCAGUCGUCCACUUCUUAAUCAUGUUACUGCCUUACCACGAUCACAGCACUGCAUCACCAUCCACCACCGUCACCAAAUGCCCUUUGACCUGCUCCUGGAUGCUUAGAACGCUAUCCACCUUCAUCAGUUAGUGGCAUGCGUUGACUAAGAAGUAUGGGAACAACACCUCUCUAUGGUCUUCAAAAUACACGGUCUUAGCCUGCAGGGAGAUGCCAUUCUUGACCCCAUGGAACAUCCAUAUUAUUUCCUCCUCUUGGACCCAACAAGCCUGGUCAGCCAAACAAACUCCUACUCCCUGAAGCCUCUGUCCAAGAGCUGCCUUCAAGCCCACCCCCCACCCUAAUCCCCAAAAGGCCUCCCCUGAUGUCCCCAGGACACUCAGAGUCUCUUUCUGGGCUCCCCCUUCACCUGGUGCUGUUUUAUAAUUUUAGGUGUGUAUGUCUAUAUCCCCA